GUGAACAAUUUUUCCAGGAUAACCUACAAUCUGAUGGCCCAGUCUUGGGACAGUAUUUCCUCAGUGGGGCCCUCCUGAGACUGGCCAGGAAGAAGGGUAAAGGAGAAGAGAGGAGGAGAUUUCAGGAAAUUCUGCUGCAAUUUAAAAGCCCUGAAGAGGGCGGGUGCGAUGGCAGAUGCAUGUAAUCCCAGUGCUUUGGGAGGUCGAGGCAGGAGGACAGCUUGAGCGCAGGAGUUCAAAAUCAGCCUGUGCAACAAAGUGAGAUCCCAUCUCUACGAAAAAUUAAAAAAUUAGCCAAAUGUGCUGACACACACCUGCAGUCCCAGCCACCUGGGAGGCUGAGACAGGAAGAUCACUUGAGCCCAGGAGGUCAAGGCUGCAGUGAGUCAUUUUUGUGCCAUUGCACUCCAGCUUGGGUGACAGAGUGAGAUCUUGUUUCCAAAAAAAAAAUGCCCUGAAGAAAUGAGAAAAAGCUAGAGAUGAUAGAUGGAUGAUAAGGAGAAUUCAUGGCAUCUGAGAAAGAGCCCUCACUUGGCACCUAUGUACCACUCUAUGCAGCAUGAUUUAUUUCCUUUGGUCAGAGGCUGCCCUGGC
rnacentral:lncRNA from 10 species